ACUCAAAUGAAUUGACGGGUCCCCGCACAAGCGGCGGAGCAUGCGGCUUAAUUCGAUGCGACCCGAAGAACCUUACCUGGGUUUGACAUUAUGGGAAAAGCCGUAGAGAUACGGUGUCCGAAAGGGCCCAUAACAGGUGGUGCAUGGCUGUCGUCAGCUCGUGUCGUGAGAUGUUGGGUUAAGUCCCGCAACGAGCGCAACCCUUGUCCUAUGUUGCCAGCGGAUAAUGCCGGGGACUCAUAGGAGACUGCCGGGGACAACUCGGAGGAAGGUGGGGACGACGUCAAGUCAUCAUGCCCCUUACAUCCAGGGCUGCACGCAUGCUACAAUGGUCGGUACAACGGGCUGCGAUCUCGCGAGAGUGAGCGAAUCCCUUAAAGCCGGCCUCAGUUCAGAUUGGAGUCUGCAACUCGACUCCAUGAAGUCGGAGUCGCUAGUAAUCGCGGAUCAGCAAUGCCGCGGUGAAUGCGUUCUCGGGGAUUGUACACACCGCCCGU
rnacentral:rRNA from 1 species